CACCGCCCGUCACACCAUGGGAGUCGAUUGCCUCCAGAAGUGGCUGCGCCAACCCGCAAGGGAGGUAGGUCCCCAAGGAGUGAUCGGUGACUGGGUG
rnacentral:rRNA from 1 species